rnacentral:ncRNA from 1 species
AUAACUUGACCUGACAAGAUAUAAAAACAGGAACCGUCCGACGCAGACACAGACUGCGGCUUUAAAAAUAAAAGUGCUUUAAAGACGGAGAAAGGACAAGAG